UGGGAGUACUGCAGACUGCCCAAGGCCACCUCAGUGCUGUUCAUCUGUGAAUAUUCUCCGGUUCAGCUCUGUGUAAGAAAAGAGACCUUGCUAAUGGGAGUGAAGAGGCAACAAGUAUGCAGUGCUCUCAUGUUGACUGAGCCUAACAUUCCUCUGAGAAGCAUGCUCCUACUUCAGGAUGUAUGAGCUCAUAGGAACCAAACGAAUAAGACAUUGUAUAAAGAGCUGAGGUCUGCUGUCUCAUCGUCACUUGCUACAGCUGACAAAAUGCUUUCAACAAGAUUGAAAAUCAUCGCCUUCCUGGCUGCAAGUUGGUGUUGGACAUCUGAUGAAAAAGGAGGCCUUGCCAUUGUGAGGGCCAGUUUCAGACGUUUCGACCAGAACACCGUCACUGUAACCCCUUCAGAAAUGACCCACUCUGCAAGUUAAGACGCUGAAGACAGCAUGAGAAGCUUGAGGUUUGCUUCUGACAACAGCAUCCCAGAGAGGAGCAGCGACUUCAUAAUUGGUUCCAUCACAUUCAUCCACUGGCUUCUUCCAAACACAUGUCAACAAAGAUGUGAUGGAAUGAAUUAAUAAAAGAGUGCAUCUAA